rnacentral:lncRNA from 1 species
UGAUAAUAGACCUUACAGACCCAGCUCGAACCCAAAUGUGGGAGAGCGUUACUCUCAGAAUAAAGGAGGAGCCUAUCAAAGCACCCGUGGCUUUCAAAGAAACUACCAUAAUAGCCAUCAAGGAAAUUUUAAUGGCAGCAACAGUAAUAACUGGAACAAAGGAAAAGCAACAGAGGGCCGAACUGAUGCCACUCUCAAAUUGAUGUAGUUUUUAUGCGAAGGACCUCAUCGGGUGUCGGAGUGUCCUCAGAAGCGGAUGGUAAAUGUAUAUUGUUAGCUAGCAAGUGGCGGGUCAAGUUCAAAGCAAGAGGCUUCAUAAGCUAAUUGUCAUAGUGAGACUGACUCCGAAGAGGAUGAGGACGUAGUUGGGGUAUUUUCACAUCGGUGCAACACACUGUUGCGUCGGGUUGCUGAAAAGGAUGAUGUCACAUUGAGAGAGGCGAAGAUGGAGGAAGCGAAGACUCGAAUUUGUAGGGCCAAAGGUUUAAUGUACAUUGAUGUAAAAAUCAACAGGAAGCCAAUCAGGGUUAUGGUGGAUACUGGUGCUAUCCAUAACUACCUUGCAUGUACUGAAGUAGAGUGACUCAAACUUGUUCUGAAAAAGGGUAGUGAAAAAGUCAAAGCAAUCAACUCCGCUGCUCAAACAAUAGCUGGAGUGGCAAAAUCGAUGUUGAUCAAAUCAGGUCCUUUGAGGGAAGGACAAAUUUAUCUACAGUUCAGAUGGAUGAUUUCAAGCUUAUUCUGGGAUUGGAAUUUCUUCGGGAUACUAAGACAGCAGCGUUGCCAUAUUCCGAUUCGUUAAUGAUGAUGGGUAAUAAGCCGUGUGUCAUCCCUCACAAGUUGGGAUGAUAUGUAAGAAGAGUAUCUCAGCCAUGCAAUUUAGUAAGAGUUUUAAGAGAAAUGAACCUUCUUUUUUGUGCAUUCUUCGAUUAAAGGAGAUCGAAGAGGCGAAUGGUCCUAUUCCAAAACCCGUUAAAAGGUUUAUUCAGGAAUUUGAUGACAUCAUGCCGGAUGAAUUAUCAAAGAAAUUACCGCCAAGAAGGACGAUUGAUCAUGAGAUUGAACUUAUUCCAGGUGCCAGACCUCCCGCCAUGGCACCAUACUGUAUGUCUCAGCCUGAGCUUGAAGAGUUUAGGAAGCAAUUGGGAAAAAUGUUGGAGAGUGGAAUCAUUGUGCCUACGAAGUUGUCAUACGAUGCUCCUGUAUUGUUUCAGAAAAAAGGCCGAUGGUUCUCUUAGAAUGUGUUGUGACUAUUGAGCCUUGAACAAGAUUACUGUAAAGAAUAGCUAUCCUAUCCCACUGGUUGCGGAUUGCUUCGAUCGACUGAGUCGGGC